UUUAUGGAGAGUUUGAUCCUGGCUCAGGAUGAACGCUGGCGGCGUGCCUAAUACAUGCAAGUCGAGCGAACAGAUAAGGAGCUUGCUCCUUUGACGUUAGCGGCGGACGGGUGAGUAACACGUGGGUAACCUACCUAUAAGACUGGAAUAACUCCGGGAAACCGGGGCUAAUGCCGGAUAACAUUUAGAACCGCAUGGUUCUAAAGUGAAAGAUGGUUUUGC
rnacentral:rRNA from 1 species